GAGUUUGAUCAUGGCUCAGAACGUACGCUGGCGGCACGCCUAACACAUGCAAGUCGAACGAAGUAGCAAUACUUAGUGGCAGACGGGUGAGUAACAUGUAGGUAUCUGCCCUUUGGCCUGGAAUAACACGAGGAAACUUGUGCUAAUACCGGAUAAGUCUUUACGGAGAAAGCUUUAUGCACCAUUGGAUGAGCCUGCACUUGAUUAGUUUGUUGGUGGGGUAAUGGCCUACCAAGACUGUGAUCAAUAGCUGAUUUGAGAGGAUGAUCAGCCACAUUGGGACUGAGACACGGCCCAAACUCCUACGGGAGGCAGCAGUGGGGAAUCUUGCACAAUGGAGGAAACUCUGAUGCAGCGAUGCCGCGUGAGUGAAGAAGGCCCUUGGGUUGUAAAGCUCUUUCGUCGGGGAAGAAAGUGACUGUACCCGAAUAAGAAGGUCCGGCUAACUUCGUGCCAGCAGCCGCGGUAAUACGAAGGGACCUAGCGUAGUUCGGAAUUACUGGGCUUAAAGAGUUCGUAGGUGGUUGAAAAAGUUGGUGGUGAAAUCCCAGAGCUUAACUCUGGAACUGCCAUCAAAACUUUUCAGCUAGAGUAUGAUAGAGGAAAGCAGAAUUUCUAGUGUAGAGGUGAAAUUCGUAGAUAUUAGAAAGAAUACCAAUUGCGAAGGCAGCUUUCUGGAUCAUUACUGACACUGAGGAACGAAAGCAUGGGUAGCGAAGAGGAUUAGAUACCCUCGUAGUCCAUGCCGUAAACGAUGUGUGUUAGACGUUGGAAAUUUAUUUUCAGUGUCGCAGCGAAAGCGAUAAACACACCGCCUGGGGAGUACGACCGCAAGGUUAAAACUCAAAUGAAUUGACGGGGACCCGCACAAGUAGUGGAGCAUGUGGUUUAAUUCGAAGAUACGCGCAGAACCUUACCAACACUUGACAUGUUCGUCGCGACUCUAAGAGAUUAGAGUUUUCGGUUCGGCCGGACGAAACACAGGUGCUGCAUGGCUGUCGUCAGCUCGUGUCGUGAGAUGUUGGGUUAAGUCCCGCAACGAGCGCAACCCUCACUUUUAGUUGCCAUCAUUUAGUUGGGCACUCUGAAAGAACUGCCAGUGAUAAGCUGGAGGAAGGUGGGGAUGACGUCAAGUCCUCAUGGCCCUUACGUGUUGGGCUACACACGUGCUACAAUGGUAUCUACAACAGGAAGCAAGACUGCGAAGUUUAGCAAAUCCUUAAAAGAUACCUCAGUUCGGAUUGCACUCUGCAACUCGAGUGCAUGAAGCUGGAAUUACUAGUAAUCGUGGAUCAGCGUGCCACGGUGAAUGCGU
rnacentral:rRNA from 1 species